UUGAUUAGAUUAUUAAUUUAAUUUAACAUUAUUUGUAAUUUAAACAAUAUAGUUUUAUUAAUGUUAAUGAAAAAAUUUUGUUAAUAAUAGUUUAAAGUAAUGAGAAUGAAUUUUAUAAGAUGGAUGUAAGAAGAAUUGAUUUUUCGUACCUUGUGUAUCAGGGCUUAUUAAUUAUACUUAAUUAGUUGAGGUUCCCGAAUUCAAAAGAGCUAAUUUAGAAUAAGUUUUUAUGUAGAAUAAUGAUUUAAAAUUUUAAAUUAGAAAUGAAAUGUUAUUCGUUUUUGAAUAUAUCUGGUUUUCUAAGAAAUGAAUUUAAUUAUAUAAUCAAGGUGAGUUUUAAGAAUUAAUUUUUAAAAUUUAAUUGUUUUUGUAUGUUUUACGGGAUAAGCUGUGGAACAUUUUUUUAUAAAUUAAUAAUUUUAUUAUAAUAGUGAUAUAGGAUUAGAAGUUUCUUUUAUUAAGAUUUUGUUAUAAAUUUUGCUGUUUAUUUAUUUAAUUUUUAUGAUUUUUAAAUAAUUUAUUGGAAUUUUAGUUUUAAUUUUUUAAGCUAAGUAAUAAUGAUAAGAUUAGUAUAAUUAUUUGUGUUUAAUAGGAUUUAAUUUAAGAUAAAUAUAAGGAAUUCGGCAAAGCAUUUUCCACCUGUUUAUUAAAAACAUGUCCUUUUGAUAUUAAUUUAAGGUCUGGCCUGCCCAAUGAAAAUUUGAAUGGCCGCAGUAUUUUGACUGUGCAAAGGUAGCAUAAUCAUUAGUUCUUUAAUUGAGAGCUGGAAUGAAAGGUUAAAUGAGAAAAUAACUGUCUCAUUUUUAAAAUUAAAAUUUUAUUUUUAAGUUAAAAAGCUUAAAUUAAUUAAGAAGACGAGAAGACCCUAUAGAGUUUUAUUAGUUUUAUUUUAGUAAUAUUUGGGUUUAUAGUUUUACUAAAAUAAAACUAAUUUAGUUGGGGUGACUAAAAAAUUAUAAGAACUUUUUAAAAUUAAAAUACAUUAAUUAAUGAUUUAUUGAUCCUAAAGUUUAGAUUAUAAGAAUAAAUUACCUUAGGGAUAACAGCGUAAUUUUUCUGGAGAGUUCAAAUCGAUAGAAAAGUUUGCGACCUCGAUGUUGGAUUAGAAUUUAUUUAGGGUGCAGCCUCUCUAUAAUUAAGUCUGUUCGACUUUUGAAAUUCUACAUGAUCUGAGUUUAGACCGGUGUGAGCCAGGUUGGUUUCUAUCUCUUAUAAAUUGCAAUAUUUUAGUACGAAAGGACCGAGUAUUGAAACAAUGUUUUAUUUUUUGAGUCAUAUU
rnacentral:rRNA from 1 species